rnacentral:rRNA from 1 species
GUUGUAAAGCUCUUUCAGCCGGGAAGAAAACGCAUGGGUUAAUACCCUGUGUGGAUGACGGUACCGGAAUAAGAAGCACCGGCUAACUACGUGCCAGCAGCCGCGGUAAUACGUAGGGUGCGAGCGUUAAUCGGAAUUACUGGGCGUAAAGCGUGCGCAGGCGGUUUGUUAAGAUAGGCGUGAAAUCCCCGGGCUCAACCUGGGAACUGCGUUUAUGACUGGCAGGCUAGAGUAUGGCAGAGGGGGUGGAAUUCCACGUGUAGCAGUGAAAUGCGUAGAGAUGUGGAGGAACACCGAUGGCGAAGGCAGCCCCUGGGCCAAUACUGACGCUCAUGCACGAAAGCGUGGGUAGCAAACAGGAUUAGAUACCCUGGUAGUCCACGCCCUAAACGAUGUCAACUAGGUGUUGGGAGGGUAAAACCUUUUAGUACCGGAGCUAACGCGUGAAGUUGACCGCCUGGGGAGUACGGCCGCAAGGUUAAAACUCAAAGGAAUUGACGGGG